GAAAAGGUGGCUCAGUGGUAGAGUGCUUGUCUUGCAUGCAAGAGGUCCUGGGUUUGAUUCCUCAGCAUCA
rfam:Dipodomys ordii contig_9985, whole genome shotgun sequence.